GGAGUUAGCCGGUGCUUCUUCUGUGAGUGAUGUCCUUCCUGCCGGUUAUUGACCCGCAGGCCUUCUUCCUCACUGAAAGUGCUUUACAACCCGAAGGCCUUCUUCACACACGCGGCAUGGCUGGAUCAGGGUUGCCCCCAUUGUCCAAUAUUCCCCACUGCUGCCUCCCGUAGGAGUCUGGGCCGUGUCUCAGUCCCAGUGUGGCUGAUCAUCCUCUCAGACCAGCUACGGAUCGUCGCCUUGGUGAGCCGUUACCUCACCAACCAGCUAAUCCGACAUAGGCUCAUCCGAUAGCGCGAGGACCGAAGGUCCCCCGCUUUCCCCCGUAGGGCGUAUGCGGUAUUAGCCUGGGUUUCCCCAGGUUAUCCCCCACUACCGGGAAGAUUCCUAUGCAUUACUCACCCGUCCGCCGCUCGCCACCAGGGAGCAAGCUCCCCGUGCUGCCGCUCGACUUGCAUGUGUUAGGCCUGCCGCCAGCGUUCAAUCUGAGCCAUGAUCAAACUCUGA
rnacentral:rRNA from 1 species